AGCCAGUGAUGGAGUGCUUGCACUCCUGAGACUUAGCGGCGGACGGGUGAGUAACACGUAGGCAACCCGCCCAUAAGACUGGGAUAACUACCGGAAACGGUAGCUAAUACCGGAUACACAAGAGGGUCGCAUGAUUCUCUUGGGAAAGACGGAGCAAUCUGUCACUUAUGGAUGGGCCUGCGGCGCAUUAGCUAGUUGGUGGGGUAAAGGCCUACCAAGGCGACGAUGCGUAGCCGACCUGAGAGGGUGAACGGCCACACUGGGACUGAGACACGGCCCAGACUCCUACGGGAGGCAGCAGUAGGGAAUCUUCGGCAAUGGACGAAAGUCUGACCGAGCAACGCCGCGUGAGUGAUGAAGGUUUUCGGAUCGUAAAGCUCUGUUGCCAGGGAAGAACGUCUUCUAGAGUAACUGCUAGGAGAGUGACGGUACCUGAGAAGAAAGCCCCGGCUAACUACGUGCCAGCAGCCGCGGUAAU
rnacentral:rRNA from 1 species